rnacentral:rRNA from 1 species
GGCCAGACUCCUACGGGAGGCAGCAGUGGGGGAUAUUGCACAAUGGGGGCAACCCUGAUGCAGCGACGCCGCGUGAGCGAUGGAGUACUUCGGUAUGUAAAGCUCUGUCAGCAGGGAAGAGAAUGACGGUACCUGACCAAGAAGCCCCGGCUAACUACGUGCCAGCAGCCGCGGUAAUACGUAGGGGGCAAGCGUUAUCCGGAUUUACUGGGUGUAAAGGGAGCGUAGGCGGUUUAGCAAGUCAGAAGUGAAGGCCCGGGGCUCAACUCCGGGACUGCUUUUGAAACUGUUGAACUAGAUUGCAGGAGAGGUAAGUGGAAUUCCUAGUGUAGCGGUGAAAUGCGUAGAUAUUAGGAGGAACACCAGUGGCGAAGGCGGCUUACUGGACUGUAAAUGACGCUGAGGCUCGAAAGCGUGGGGAGCAACCAGGAUUAGAUACCCCGGUAAU